CCCCGGCCCAGGGGCCCCGGCCCCGGCCCGAGGCCCGGCGCGGCGGCGGGCACAGGGCUGCGCCGGGUCCGCCGGCUGCAAACCGCAUAGUGCGGCUUGGAGGGAAGAUAACCCCUGUUCCCAGCUCUAGAGGCUGUUACUAAAACGGAUGGAGGUUCAGGCUGUACUGGAUUCCCAUUCUGAAGUUCCCCUCAAGCCCUGCAGACAGUGCUUUAGCAGCCUUUGCUCUGGAAAAAACCUCUUGCAGUUACACCAAGAAUGAGUGUUUUCAGGCUUCAGGUGAGCCACUGUGAGAAACAGCUCUUCAAACCCAUGAGAUGAGAAACUGCAACUGGCAACUCAUCUCCACUCCUUCCAGACCACUGAGGUUUGCUGGUGGCACUGCAGACAGCAAAGGGUAGAGGAAGGCUGGAAGGAAAGCUCUCUUCUCCCACCCCACCGCCCCACACAAGGUGGAGAAGACAGCAGCCCUUUGCUUCUUCUGCACCACAGUUCUGCCAGGAAGUUACGCAGAGACCAAACCACGCUGCCAGUCACUGCGCCAUUGCACUGCGAUGCUUUCAUACCCCAACUCAGAAGAUCAAAGUCAAAUGUUUCCAAGUCUCAUGAUGACUGAACUGAGAAGAAAUGCUGAAUUUUUGGAAUGCAGACAUUCUGGAGGAAAGUUUGCACUUUUUCAAGUGGCUAUUAGAGUCAACGAACUUCUAUACAUAAUUCAUACAUAUAUAUAUUUUCAACCUGACAAAAGUAAGCUUAGCAGCUUCUUGCUAAUGAUCUCAAAGCAAAACAGUAUACGUUGGGGCUUUCAAUGCAUGAUCACAGCAUCAAUAAUAAAUCUCUGUAAGAAAAACACUAUUCCCCAACUACACCAAAGAGAAGAACAAAAAGGCUUGCUUAUAACCCAGAAACUCCAGCUAGUCCUGUUCUGACCCAGGUUACUCAGGGCUCAGCAUCAGAGGGCAGGUGCUGCUCAUCACAAUUUUUGCCGCAAGUCUGAAAGAUUCAAGCCAAGAGUUCAUUCCAAAUAGCAGCACCAGUACAGACAAGCAAGCCAUGAGAUUUGUAACACGUAUUUGAAGACCAACAAGGAACUAGCCAACUAGUAAUUUAAGAGACUAAAGUAACUGCAUUUAGGCCUCCAAAUCACUACUGAAACUUGUAUUUAAACAGAGCAUAGGUGUUUUCUAUUUUUAAUGCAAAAAGCAAGGGCUAGAAUGGUUUCUAUUACACUAUCCAUUUUUA